rnacentral:rRNA from 1 species
UACGAAGGGGGCUAGCGUUGCUCGGAAUGACUGGGCGUAAAGGGCGCGUAGGCGGCUUGUAUAGUCGGAUGUGAAAUUCCUGGGCUUAACCUGGGGGCUGCAUACGAGACGUAUGGGCUUGAGUGCGGAAGAGGGUCGUGGAAUUCCCAGUGUAGAGGUGAAAUUCGUAGAUAUUGGGAAGAACACCAGUGGCGAAGGCGACUUCCUGGCCUGUUCUUGACGCUGAGGCGCGAAAGCUAGGGGAGCAAACGGG